AUUGAACGCUGGCGGCAUGCCUUACACAUGCAAGUCGAACGGCAGCACGGGUGCUUGCCCCUGGUGGCGAGUGGCGAACGGGUGAGUAAUACAUCGGAACAUGUCCUGUAGUGGGGGAUAGCCCGGCGAAAGCCGGAUUAAUACCGCAUACGAUCUACGGAUGAAAGCGGGGGACCUUCGGGCCUCGCGCUAUAGGGUUGGCCGAUGGCUGAUUAGCUAGUUGGUGGGGUAAAGGCCUACCAAGGCGACGAUCAGUAGCUGGUCUGAGAGGACGACCAGCCACACUGGGACUGAGACACGGCCCAGACUCCUACGGGAGGCAGCAGUGGGGAAUUUUGGACAGUGGGCGAAAGCCUGAUCCAGCAAUGCCGCGUGUGUGAAGAAGGCCUUCGGGUUGUAAAGCACUUUUGUCCGGAAAGAAAUCCUUGGCCCUAAUACGGUCGGGGGAUGACGGUACCGGAAGAAUAAGCACCGGCUAACUACGU
rnacentral:rRNA from 1 species